rnacentral:lncRNA from 1 species
GAACCUGCGAGGAUGGCAGCGGUGUCCAGCAGUGAAGACUGAAGGUGUCCACAGCUGUGAUAGGGGCUUCUGGGUCCUCUUGCUUGCUUUUCUUCACAGGAAGAAGUCCCUCCUAGCUCCUAGGGGGUUUGAUUGUGAGCGGCAAGGGUGUGGCAGAGAUUAUGCUCCAAGACACUGAAUCUGAAAGGAUGCAUCCAGUCUUGCCAAGUGGUUUCACUACCAAGGCCAGUCUCCAUCUAUGAUAGACCCAAGGAAGAUCAUUUACAACUAGAAUCUAGUCAUUUAGGAGAUUGUGUGCUCCCUGGAUGGGCCAUCUGCACUGGUGUGAGGUUUAUCUCAUUGAAGGGAAAACCAAAGGAAUCUUCUUGAAUAUCAGCACCAGGAAGAGCAGUACAAACUGGAGAAGCUGGGGUCAUUGUUGAGAGACAAAAUGAGAUCAUGUCUGGGAAAAUACUUCUAAAUUAUCAACUCCCUUUCUAUGGAAGAGGAUGACCAAAGAAGGAUGCACUCCUUGUCUGGAAUUAUGCCAGAGGUCUUAAAAUGCUCAGAAAUGAAAUCAGCCUUCUUCCCUGUCCUAAGAGGCUCAGGUUUUCGGCAAGUAACUCAUAAAAUUAAUGCUCCACUGAAAAUAAAAUCUGAUUUGAGUAGUAUCAGCACUUAGAAGACCUUUGGAGGCCGGGGGUAUUUUCUCUUUUACAAUGCUGUGAACAACAUUCACUCCUGGAAAACACUCCAAUGUCUUACAUCUUGAGGCUGUGGGGAUUUUUUUUUCUUUUGGUUUAAAUGUUGCCUUUCCUAUCUUUCUGCAUAUCAAUUUUUCCCCUGCCCAAGUCACAGGCUUGGUAGUAACCAUCAUGUUUACUGCUGUUCCUUCACAUGUGGUUCUCUGAGGCUUCUGAGCACCAGAAUUUUAUUAAACAGAGCUACUCACACCAUAAAGAUGGAAUUCUGCCAGAUCUGAAUCAUAGAAUAACACCAGAAUUGACUUCAGAAAUCAUCUUCUCUAAAGAUUUGCAAGAUUUUUAAACAGCACAUGCCUUUGUAAAAUGAAAUCAUCAGUGGAACACCGUAUAUAAAAUAAAAUUAAUAAAAACUACUAUGGCUGGAGAGGUGAAACUCUAACAUAUUACACAGUCUCCUGGGUUUUUUUGCAGAUAUUAAGGAUCCACUGAACCAUUUGAAAACUACCCUAUAUACUCCCCCUUUCCAGUGCUUCAGUCCCUUCUAUAGUAAUCACCACUGGAUUGUUCAGUCUUUCAAUAUUUUCAGUGGUGCCUAUCCUCCCAAGAAAGGCCAUCUUAAUUUGGGACAGCUUUAACUGUCUAUUUGGAAAAUCAUUCUUAUAUUUUAAUGGUCUCCUUGUAACCUCUAUUUAUUGUUACUAGAACAGAACUAGACUGUGCUCUAUUCCAUCUAAGUAUUGGGGUCAAUGAUCAUAUUCCUCCACAAACUUAUAGUUUUUUUACAAACUAAAUAUCCCCUGAUUUUUUCAACUUUAUCACAGUGUGAGAAUAUGUGGGCCUAAUCUCUUUAUUCUAAUUUCUUUCCUUUGAACUUGCUUCACUUUGUCAAUGUCAGUUUUAAUUUGUGUGCCUAGAACUGUAAAAAGUAAUCCCUAUGUUGACUGUAAUCAUCAACUCUUUCACUUUGAACAUUCUACCCCUGUUAAUUUGGCCUAUAAUUGAAUUUGAUUUGGGGAAAACUUGUCGGAGCUUAGCCAACUAAAUCCCCAAUAUCAUCCUUGAAUAUGCUACUGCAGAACCAAAUCUCCCAUAUUACAAACUUUUAAAAUUGUUUUAAUGACUUCAUGUGGUCAUUUUCCUUUGCCAUGGCUUUUAAAGUCACAUGGUUCUAUUAGAAAGAUUUCUAGGUCUCUUGUCAUUUCUAGAAUCUGGUUUGUUGGAUUUGGCAAAUCAAUAUCUGUAUAUUUGUUCACUUUUUAUUCUGUCAAUCGCAAACAUGCCAUCUGCUUAAUAAUUUCCCACAGAUCUUUAUUGAUAUAUAUUUUGUUGGGAAAGAAUUUAUCAUUUUAGAUCCAGAAUAUGUAAUCAUAGCUGUCCAUUUAUAUCUGACCAUAAAGAACUUUCCUACUAUAGAAUUUUUGAGAUUUGGUGAGGGCUAACUAGAAGGCUGAAAGGAUAGGAAAGCUGCUGAGUUUAUUUGGUUACACACCAAUGGUCCUGUAAGUCUGUAAUUUCAAAAAUCUACCCGAAAACAAGGGAUUGUAUCCACUGUUAAAUGGAUGAAGUUUUAAGCAUCAGAAAAUCAGUCUGAAUUUUCAUUAUUCCCUAGAAAUUUUCUCAACUUUGUGAGUUUCAUCCAGGUACUUUGCCGUUCUUGAACAUAUUUUCAUGUGGUUUUAUAAUAUUUAUUCAACAUUAUUUUCCAUUAGUUCUCUAAUUUUAAUUGUUGGUAAGCAUUUCGAUGUGUAGCUAUUACAUGGUGCAGAACUGAUUUAUCCACGUUAAUGUCUGAGGAGACCAUGACCCAUUUUAUCUGCUGCGUGGUCAGCCCUGGUAUUCAUGGCAGGUUGUCUGAAUAUUUCUGAUGAAGUCUUUAAGUACAUGUAAUUCUGAAAACACAUUCCCAUUCAGUAAGACUUAUACAGGAUGGUAAGCCUAACAUGGCAAAAGGUUUCUAAAAAAUUCCAUAAACAUUAAGCAUAUUUAUGUCAUAGCAUUAAGUUUGGUCAAUUUGAAACUUACCGUAUUGUAGUAUAAGAGGCAUUUUGUUUGCUUGUGUUUACUUUCCCAGGAGUAAAUGCGUUUUGGUUAACCACAAUGGCAAACUUAGUCAAGACAUUUAUGUCAACAAAUCCUACUGCUUAACAAAGUCACAUUCUUAGUUUCUGGGACAGCAGACUGGAUUCUAAGUAAUAAGGUGUUUAUAAGGUGUGCUGUAAAUCUGGGACUAUAAACAUGUCUACUUUUCUGUUAAACCUGCUGCUGUGCGUGAGGUACAAUAAGCUCUCUUUUCAGUUUUAUGGUGGCCAGUAUGUUGGCUUGCCAGUCUUGAUUGCUGUUGAUUCUACUGUUCCCAAAGCCUCCUGCCAAGCUCUUGACCCAAGUCACGCUCCCUGGUGAUGUCAUAAUGCUGCUACGAAUUUGCUCAUUCACUGUACCUGCAGGGAUGCCCCAAGAGUCACAUACCUUCCCUGUUAGUCACUCGUUGGAGAAUAACACCUUGAAAUGAGCAGGGCCUCUCCUUCCCCUGAUUUCAAAGCCAUUACAUUUUCAGAAUUUUCAUAAUGAGUUUAUAGAUACAGUAAGAUGACUAUUACCUUUAUGGAAAUUAUUUUUAAUUUGUUUUUUUCUCAAAAAUAACACUAUUAAUUUUGUUUGGACCAAAAAAAUUUUCUCCACAUUCAUAAGCAAAAUUUAUUUCAAUUAAACACAUAUUUAUGAAAUACAGUGCCUGGUAUUUGAAAUCAUCACCAUUGUUAUGUAUGCCAAAUAUCUGGAGGAAAAGAAGAGAAAGUGGUCAUAGAUCUGAAUAUUUAAAUUACAUGAUGUUGAAUACAUCUAUUUGGAAAAAUCUUAUUAAUUCUAAAUUCUUUACUUUUUACCCAAAUAUUGGGCAUUUAUAUAGAUAUAGCUUGCAUCUUGCCUUACUUUACAAUUUAAUUCCCCCUACCAAAUUGCUCAAACCAUACUUCUCCAAAGAUUCUAUGAGUUAGACCAAAUAUAAAAACAAAAACAAACAAACAAACAAAAAACCCGAACAAAAAUUAUUUAAGGCGGGGCUCAGUGGCUAAUGCCUUUAAUCCUAGCACUUGGGGAGGCCAAGGUGGGAAUAUCUAUUGAGCCCAUGAGUUCAAGACCAGCCUAGGCAAUAUAGUGAGACCCCCAUCUCUACAAAAAAUAAAAAGCUCACCAAGGCUAGGUGAGCUUUUUUUUUUUUUUUUUUUUUUUCUGGGAGGCCAAGACAGGAGAAUCCCUCGAGCCUCGGAGUUUGAGAGCAGCCUGGGCAACAUGGUGAGACCCUGUCCCUAAAAAUAAGUUUAAAAAAAUUAGCUGGGCAUGGUAGCAUGCACCUAUAGCACCACCUACUUGGGAGGCUAAGGCAGGAGGAUUGCCUGACCCCAGGAGUUUGAGACUGCAGUGAGCCAUGAUCAUGCUGCCACACUCUAGCCAGAGUCAAAGAGUGAGACUCUGUCUCAAUAAAUAAAAGAAAAAUAGCCAGCAUGGUGGUGGAUGCCUAUUGUCUCAGCUACUUAGAGGCUGAGGCAGGAGGAUUGCUUGAGCCCAGGAGGUCAAGGCUGCAGUGAGCUUUGAUUGUACCACUGCACUCAAGUCUGGGUGACAGAGCAAAUCUCUGUCUCAAAAAAAUUAUUUAAAACACACUGGUUGUGAGCUCAAUGCAAAACAAAUACCUCAUAUAUUUAUAUAAUUUUUCUUUCUCAGAUGAACACUACCAAGAUAACGUUGGUGUUUUAACCAGGUAUGAAUAAUGGCCCAAAUACAAAUGACUAAAAACCACAAGUUAACUUUUCAUAGACUAUAAUAGAUUUGGAGCUAACAUUCUGUCUUUUCAUAUAUCAGCAUUUUUCCUCUGACAUGUUACACUGAAAAAAAGAGUUUUUAGGUAGAAGGUUUUCUUCUACCUUCAGGAGAAAAUUCCAUCAGAAACUAAAAUCUUUAUCCAAAGACUUAGAGGCUACUUUUGAACAGUUUUUUGAGUUAAUGUGUCUAUGAUUGCAUCUAUGUUUGACAUUUAAUUUGGAAAAUAACAUAAAUUAGCCAAAAACCAUUUCCUUAAACUGGUUUUCAAACUUGAGUGAUAUAAGAUGUUUUGCAAAAAGGAAAA